AAUGAACGUUGGCGGCGUGGAUUAGGCAUGCAAGUCGAACGCUUUAUGUAGCAAUACAUGAAGAGUGGCGUAAGGGAGAGUAAUCCAUGGUUAGCUACCCUCGGGUCUGGGAUAGCGGCGGGAAACUGCCGGUAAUACCAGAUGACAUCUUCGGAUCAAAGGUGUGAUUCCGCCCGGGGAGGCGACCGUGUCCUAUCAGCUAGUUGGCAGUGUAAUAGACCACCAAGGCGAAGACGGGUAUGGGGCGUGAGAGCGUGCCCCCACUCACUGGGACUGAGACACUGCCCAGACACCUACGGGUGGCUGCAGUCGAGAAUCUUCGGCAAUGGGCGCAAGCCUGACCGAGCGACGCCGCGUGCGGGAUGAAGGCCUUCGGGUUGUAAACCGCUGUCGUAGGGGAGGAAGCGACCGUGAAGAACGGAAGUUGACCGAUCCUAGGAGGAAGCGCCGGCUAAUCUCGUGCCAGCCGCCGCAGUAAUAC
rnacentral:rRNA from 1 species